UACGGAAGGGGCAAGCGUUGUUCGGAAUUACUGGGCGUAAAGGGCGCGUAGGCGGCCUGUUAAGUCGAACGUGAAAUCCCCGGGCUCAACCCGGGAACUGCGUCCGAUACUGGCAGGCUUGAAUUCGGGAGAGGGAUGCGGAAUUCCAGGUGUAGCGGUGAAAUGCGUAGAUAUCUGGAGGAACACCGGUGGCGAAGGCGGCAUCCUGGACCGAGAUUGACGCUGAGGCGCGAAAGCCAGGGGAGCAAACGGG
rnacentral:rRNA from 1 species